rnacentral:tRNA from 1 species
GCAUUGGUGGCUGAAUGGUUACGAUAUUCGCUUUGUAAACGAAUUGUUAUGGGUUCGACUCCCAUAUGUU